GAUGAACGCUGGCGGCGUGCCUAAUACAUGCAAGUCGAGCGAACGGACGAGAAGCUUGCUUCUCUGAUGUUAGCGGCGGACGGGUGAGUAACACGUGGAUAACCUACCUAUAAGACUGGAAUAACUUCGGGAAACCGGAGCUAAUACCGGAUAAUAUUUUGAACCGCAUGGUUCAAAAGUGAAAGACGGUCUUGCUGUCACUUAUAGAUGGAUCCGCGCUGCAUUAGAUAGUUGGUAAGGUAACGGCUUACCAAGGCAACGAUGCAUAGCCGACCUGAGAGGGUGAUCGGCCACACUGGAACUGAGACACGGUCCAGACUCCUACGGGAGGCGGCAGUAGGGAAUCUUCCGCAAUGGGCGAAAGCCUGACGGAGCAACGCCGCGUGAGUGAUGAAGGUCUUCGGAUCGUAAAACUCUGUUAUUAGGGAAGAACAUAUGUGUAAGUAACUGUGCACAUCUUGACGGUACCUAAUCAGAAAGCCACGGCUAACUACGUG
rnacentral:rRNA from 1 species